rnacentral:rRNA from 1 species
AGCGGAGGAAAAGAAAAUAACAAUGAUUCCCCUAGUAACUGCGAGUGAAGAGGGAUAAGCUCAAAUUUUAAAUCUGUUUGGUUCUACCUGACAGAGUUGUAAUUUAAAGAGACGUUUUCUGUGUCUUGAGUUAAUCAAAAUCCUUUGGAAUGAGGUAUCAUGGAGGGUGACAAUCCCGUUCAUGGUUAAUUCUAAGAUACUUUAUGAUGCGUUUUCGAAGAGUCGAGUUGUUUGGGAUUGCAGCUCAAAAUGGGAGGUAAAUUUCUCCUAAGGCUAAAUAUUGGCGAGAGACCGAUAGCGAACAAGUACCGUGAGGGAAAGAUGAAAAGAACUUUGAAAAGAGAGUUAAACAGUACGUGAAAUUGUUGAAAGGGAAACGAUUGAAGUCAGUCGUACCAGCGGGAAAUCAACCUUUCGAGUGGGGGUUUUGGAGUUUUGAAGAGUGUCAAAACCUUUGAGAUUUCAAAAUAUUCGCUCUUUUGGUGUACUUUCUCGUGGGUAGGUUAACAUCGAUUUUGAUCAUCAUAAAAAGAUUGGAGGAAUGUAGCUUCGAUCUUGUAUUGAAGUGUUAUAGCCUUUGGUAAAUGUGAUGAUUAGGAUCGAGGAUUGCAACGAAUACCCUUUUGGGCUAUCCGCCUGAUCUCUGAUACGUGGCCUUGGUAUCGAAAGCUUGCUUAUGGUAUUGAGGUAUUACGGUCAAAAGGUUAGAACGGAUUACAUUCGUUAAGGAUGUUGACGUAAUGGCUUUAAACGACCCGUCUUG